rnacentral:piRNA from 1 species
CAGCUAAAGGGAUUGUU